rnacentral:rRNA from 1 species
UAGCGUAGGGGGCAAGGCGUUUGUCCGGGAUUUAUUGGGCGUAAAGAGCUCGUAGGCGGUCUGUCGCGUCGGCUGUGAAAACUCGGGGCUCAACCCCGAGCCUGCAGUCGAUACGGGCAGACUAGAGUCCGGCAGGGGAGACUGGAAUUCCUGGUGUAGCGGUGAAAUGCGCAGAUAUCAGGAGGAACACCGGUGGCGAAGGCGGGUCUCUGGGCCGGAACUGACGCUGAGGAGCGAAAGCGUGGGGAGCGAACAGG